AGUGAACCGGGAGGUACUACCAGGUAAGGAAGGUGCGGUGGCCCCAGCCGUGGGUGAGAGGAGCUCCGCUCUGACACCCCCGCUCCUGUAGGUCGCCGCCGUUGCUCCGCUCGCUCAGAGAGAGCAUGGCCCUGAGAGGCGUCUCUGUGCGGCUGCUGAGCCGCGGACCCGGCCUGCAUGUCCUUCGCACGUGGGUCUCGUCGGCUGCGCAGACCGAGAAAGGCGGGAGGACACAGGGCCAACUGGCCAAGUCCUCGCGUCCCCAGUUUGACUGGCAGGACCCGCUGGUGCUGGAGGAGCAGCUGACCACAGAUGAGAUCCUCAUCAGGGACACCUUCCGCACCUACUGCCAGGAGAAACUCAUGCCUCGCAUCCUGUUGGCCAAUCGCAACGAAGUUUUUCAUCGGGAGAUCAUUUCGGAGAUGGGGGAGUUGGGUGUGCUGGGCCCCACCAUCAAAGGAUAUGGCUGUGCUGGGGUUUCGUCUGUGGCGUAUGGGCUCCUGGCCCGAGAGCUGGAGCGGGUGGACAGUGGCUACAGGUCGGCGAUGAGUGUCCAGUCCUCCCUCGUCAUGCACCCUAUCUAUGCCUAUGGCAGCGAGGAACAGCGGCAGAAGUACCUGCCCCGGCUGGGUGAGUGGCUGCCCAUGGGGCCUGGUGGAAGGAAGACAGUCUCUGAGGUCUGGAACUCAAGGGUGGGGCUGUCCCCUGAGCCUAUUCUGUCCCUAUCUCAAAGAUAGCAUAAGUGGCCACCCCCUGCCAGACCCUGGGCUUCACCUGGAGAUCUGAUCCCUGGCCAGCGUGAUUGUUCCCCUCUGUGACCACCGUCAUCUCCCUAUGCUUUCUGUGUUCCCCAG
rnacentral:sRNA from 1 species